rnacentral:misc_RNA from 1 species
GAAAUGCGAUAAGUAAUGUGAAUUGCAGAAUUCAGUGAAUCAUCGAAUCUUUGAACGCACAUUGCGCCCGCCAGUAUUCUGGCGGGCAUGCCUGUUCGAGCGUCAUUUCAACCAUCAAGCCCCGGGCUUGUGUUGGGGACCUGCGGCUGCCGCAGGCCAUGAAAAGCAGUGGCGGGCUCGCUGUCACACCGAGCGUAGUAGCAUACAUCUCGCUCUGGGCGUGCUGCGGGUUCCGGCCGUUAAACCACCUUCGUAACCCAAGGUUGACCUCGGAUCAGGUAGGAAGACCCGCUGAACUUAAGC